UUAAUUGAAGCCAAAAAUUGAGGCAUAUUACUGUUAAUAAUAUCAUUGGAAAUCACUCCCCAAUUAAA
rnacentral:tRNA from 1 species